rnacentral:misc_RNA from 1 species
AUGUGAUAAUAAACACGAUACAUGAUGCACAUGAUGCACGAUAAACGAUAAACGUUGACGUUGAGCCGUCCAUAAACACAAGAAAAAUUAAUGCUCGCAUCGAAUUCUUGAGGAAGACGUUGCGUUUACGUCUCUUUUUCACGGUGUCCCACACGUUAUGGAGGAGGUUCUUCAGCAGUUGGGAGUUGGAAUUCGCCCCGUAAGCGAUCCCUUUUUCGAGGAUUCCUACAAAGUCUGUAAGGUCUUCCAGAGAAAGGGAGUCACGAUCGAUGACGAGGAGGAACUCUGUCACGAAGUGAUUAAGGAAUUCUCAUGUUAUGUCCCAGGAUGCAAAAACACUUUUCAAACGCUGCUUGAUUAUGAAAUGCAUUACAACAGCUCGCAUCGAUAUGCCUGUACAGAAUGCAAAGUGUCCAGACCAAAUCCACGGCUGUUAGAAAUUCAUAUUCAGGAGACACACGAUGCCUUUUUCAAAGUCUUAUCGGAGAAACAAGCUAUGUAUCAAUGUUACGACUCUGAAUGUGAAAUAAAGUUCAACAACCCAGUAGAAAGGAAGGAACAUUGCAUUAAAAUACAUAAAUUUCCAAAAAAGUUUCGAUUUGAUGAUACAUUGUAUUAUAACAAGGAAGAUGAAUCAGAUAAAAUGGACAUUGACAAAACUGAUAUUGAUGACAAAAGGAAGAAAAAACCUGCUAAGAUAAUCUUAAAUAAGAAUCAAAGAAGCAAGAUGUUCACAAAUGAUACCACCAGUGUAGUUUGCAAAAAUAAUGAUAGUGUAGAAACAAUUUCAUCGACUACUGUAAAGUCUAAAAUUACACCAUUAGUUUUUGUCCCUAGGGAUAGUAGAUGACGUCAGGAUUGGGUAUAUUUAUCCCAUGAUAUUACCCGUAGCUGAGAUACCAUUUACUUCUAUUUACUUCACUUUUGACCUCCCAUUUGUCAAACUUCAGAAGAGGACUCAACUUGAAAUUUUUGGGGGGAUGUUUCAUCAUAAACUUUCAUUUAGCACAAUUUAAUUCCAAAUUCAAGGAUCAGAAAACAGAGAGAAAAAGGGAAAAGUGAACAGUCAUGCAAGAAGUUUCCCUAAAAAAACCAGACUUAUUAACACAUCUAUCGUCUGUGAUCUUCAUUACUGUUUAAAAAAAAGGAUUGAUAGAUACAUAUUUUAUAAAAUAAAAGAUAAAAUUCGUCAGUGUGUGCAAAAGGACAAGUUAUUCUCGAUACGACGGUGGCGAUUCCUCAUUAUGUCCCUGUCUCGCGAUCACGCCAAAUUUAGUCGUCCAUUCUCGGCUCCGGUUGAAGCUUGUCAAUCCUAGAAAAGCAGCCUGGCGCUCAAUUCACCGCCUCCUUUCUUGUGUAUACAAAUUUUUGCUCUUUUGGCUGCAUAACCCACAUUUCUAUGGUGCGCCCGUGAAAUGGCCGUAACCCGUUAUUUGCGAUUUUUCCCGUGAUCAUCGACGGUCCCGGCGACGGAUGAAUGCGUUCACCAUUUGCAUCUGUCGCACGCUCACAGACGUACGUGCACAGCAACGCAUCGUAACGGUAUCGGAUGGACGCAGCGUAUCCACCCCAUCGCUUUCCUCAAAACGUCUAGAUUUGCUGGCUGUGAAUAGCCAGAUGCACCGCUGACGCUGAUAGUUUUCUCAGGAUAUUUACAAGUGGGUGGACCAUAAAGGAAAAACGGACAUCUGAAACGGACAUCAUACUUUCUUGGAUCUUUUAACGCUAAUGAUGCUAUCGCGCCUGCAAAUAAAUUGCAUUUAUGAAAAUAUUUAAUAAGUCUACGUUCGGUUUUAAGAUUUUUCUAUAUUUUGUACUUUCAAAAGAAUUUGUUAUUCGAAAAUUUUCGAAUGUUAUAACGUGCGUUGUAUUAUACCGUACAUUGUAUGACUAUUACAAAUAUAAAAUCAUAAUACAACUGCGUGUUUCACAUGCAAUGUUUACGUGAUCCGUUAUUACUACUCGCUCCUCACCUGAUAGACGUAAUUGUUAACUGAUUUGCGAUCCGGUAUUGACGGAUUUCAUAAUUCCCACCAUGUAGUUAGCUUAUCAUUAUUCGAGACUUAGAUAUUUUUAAUAGUCUUACGUUCAUUUUUACGGAAACUGUUUUUCUAUUGGCAAUAAAGUCCCUGUCUACUGACACUCCCACGGGAUCCUUCAAGGAUUUUACCUUUUGAAGGAAAGUCUUUGUAACUUGAUGAAGAUGGAUCUUCGCGGCAUAUGUACGUUGAUUACACCCGAAUAGUUAUAUUCUAUUUAAGUUAUAAUUCAUCAAUACAUUAAAUAGUGAGAGUGUUACUUACGUUAACAGACCUAUCUCCAAAUUUUAAAGACAAAAAAAUUAUUAUAGGAUAAAACAGAUUCAAUUUAAUAACUAUUAAUAAUUAAUGAUUACAUAAACAAUUUUCAUAUUACAUAUCGUAUUUUGAUGAGCAUAUCCGCAAAAUUAAACUCGUCAGUAUUGACAAAAAUAAUAUUAAUAAGAAUUAUUAAGUUCAUAAAAUAACUUCGCUAAAAAUUGUGUAUAAAAUAAAAAAUAUGGCACAGUUAAACGCAUACGCGACCUAAAUGAAAUGAAAAAAGAGAAAUGCUUGUGAUGUGGAAAGAGAAUAUUAUAGUAGUCGGAGUGGACUGCAGAAAUUUUAGAAAAGCGGGUGUCCGGUUUCUAAGCCGAACAGCAAAGAGUUAGAGAGUUAGAGUACAAUCGCGCAGAGAAAUAUUUACUCACUAUUUGUUUGACAGACUUUUGGGAACGCUGUUCGUCAUUUAAAACUCUUAUGUAUUGUAAACUUUCUUUCGAUUUUGUUACCGUUGUUGAAUCAGUUUACCUUUGCUGCAAUUGUACUCAGAGAUUCUUUGUUCUCGCUUGAAACUUGUUUUCGCGUUUCAAGUAAAAUUUUAUCUUAAGUACACAUUCUCACAUAUAUUUAGAAUAUGUCUAUGCAGAAUUUCGAUUCUGACAUUGUAAUCAUUAGAUCCUAAAUUGCGUUUUGCAAUUCACGUCAUGAUGAACGUUGACUAAUAGCGAAUACUAACGCGAUUUUAUUACUUGAACCUGUUGUUAGUUAAAAAUAUUAUUAAAAAGUUAACUAUUACAAGUCAUCUUAAGUAAUAUCACAAGCAAAAUGUUGUGUUUUAUAACUUUUCAAAUAUAUUCGCAAAAUGCAACUGUUAUCUCGUAUAAUAUUCAUUUCUCAUCUCUACCCAAGCAGUAGGGUACUGUUAGAGUGCAAGUAGCAUUUACAUUUAAAUGAUAUAAGUUAUCAUUGAGACUCUAUUCUCUAACAAUUAGAGAACAAAGUCUUAAGAGUAACUUGUUCAUUUAAAUAUAAAUGAUACUUACCGAUUUGAUUUGCACAAAACAAUAACAAUUAUUAUUAUAACAACAAAACAAUUAUUAUAUUUUCUAGAACAGAAUUUGUUAGUUUAGUGAAAAAAAAUUAACCUUAGAAUAACUUUCUUUAAAUUAUUAAUACACCUUAUAAAAUAAAAUAAAAAAUUUUUAACAGUUGCAACAACAACAAAAAUGUUACUAACAGUCCCAAGUAAAAAUAUUUUUCAAACUAAUAUAAACACAAA